rnacentral:rRNA from 1 species
GACGAACGCUGGCGGCGUGCUUAACACAUGCAAGUCGAACGGAAAGGCCCUGCUUUUGUGGGUUGCUCGAUUGGCGAACGGGUGAGUAACACGUGAGUAACCUGCCCUUGACUUUGGGAUAACUUCAGGAAACUGGGGCUAAUACCGGAUAGGAGCUCCUGCUGCAUGUUGGGGGUUGGAAAGUUUCGGCGGUUGGGGAUGGAUUCGCGGCUUAUCCGCUUGUUGGUGGGGUAGUGGCUUACCAAGGCUUUGACGGGUAGCCGGCCUGAGAGGGUGACCGGCGACAUUGGGACUGAGAUACGGCCCAGACUCCUACGGGAGGCAGCAGGGGGGAAUAUUGCACAAUGGGCGGAAGCCUGAUGCAGCAACGCCGCGUGCGGGAUGACGGCCUUCGGGUUGUAAACCGCUUUCGCCUGUGACGAAGCGUGAGUGACGGUAAUGGGUAAAGAAGCACCGGCUAACUACGUG